rnacentral:rRNA from 1 species
ACGGAGGGGGCUAGCGUUGUUCGGAAUUACUGGGCGUAAAGGGCGCGCAGGCGGCUGCUCAAGUCAGGCGUGAAAGGCCUGGGCUCAACCCGGGAAUUGCGCUUGAGACUGGGCUGGCUUGAGUGCGGGAGAGGAUGGUGGAAUUCCCAGUGUAGAGGUGAAAUUCGUAGAUAUUGGGAAGAACACCAGUGGCGAAGGCGGCUAACUGGUCCAGUACUGACGCUGAGGUGCGAAAGCGUGGGGAGCAAACAGGA